CUACGGGUUGCAGCAGUAGGGAAUCUUCCGCAAUGGGCGAAAGCCUGACGGAGCAACGCCGCGUGUGCGAGGAAGGUCUUCGGAUCGUAAAGCACUGUUGUUAAGGAAGAACGACAGUAAGAGUAACUGUUUACUGUGUGACGGUACUUAACCAGAAAGCCACGGCUAACUACGUGCCAGCAGCCGCGGUAAUACGUAGGUGGCAAGCGUUAUCCGGAAUUAUUGGGCGUAAAGCGCGCGUAGGCGGCGAGAUUAGUCUGAUGUGAAAGCCCCCGGCUCAACCGGGGAAGGUCAUUGGAAACUGUUUCGCUUGAGUGCGGAAGAGGAGAGUGGAAUUCCAUGUGUAGCGGUGAAAUGCGCAGAGAUAUGGAGGAACACCAGUGGCGAAGGCGGCUCUCUGGUCUGCAACUGACGCUGAUGUGCGAAAGCGUGGGGAUCAAACAGGAUUAGAUACCCUAGUAGUC
rnacentral:rRNA from 1 species